AAUGAAUAGAAAAUUGCCCAAAGUUGAUGAUAGACCCGUUAUGUUAACCUGAUCUCAGAUGAUUUGCCAGUUUCUUGCCACUUAGUUUUAGGCCAGAAUGUCCAAAGGUUUUGAAGUCCUUAGGAAUAAAUAUUACUUACAUCUUUUGUUGUUUUGUCGCAAACAUUGGUCAUUGAUCAUUUCCAGUCCUGCUCAAAGUCAGCAGCUUUUCCAUGAGCUGGGUAUUUUGGAAAUUCAGAGUAUGUAAUAUCAACCUUUUAAAACUGCUGAAUGAAGAGUAACAUAGAACUCGCUGUUCAGAAACCUUUGACUGUUUUGCUUGUAGGGUGUGAAUAUAAAGAAUGAAUCGGAAAUAUUGGGUUUGCUCCUCGUGGUUCACAGAACCUUUUUAUUCAGAUUAGAUAUAUUAACGCUACUGCAGUAGACACGUUUCAUUCUCUUUAAUCUAACUGAAAUUGCUCUGCUCGUGCUUUGCAUUUCACUACGACAACAUUUUUCUAUAUUUGUAACACCUUAAUAAAUUACAGGAUGAAUCAUGCCGCUGAGUUACUCAAAAGGAGUUGACACACAACAGGAAGACACACGUACAUGCACAUGAAUUUUACUUGAAACCCAGCUGAUUUGAGACAUGUGGAAAUGAAGUAUAAAAAGAUGCUCGCACACUGUAUCUGCCUAUUUUAUUUAACAAAAAAAAAAAAAAAAAAAAGCGACAAAGCAAUAGUGACAACAGUGGUCCAGUGCUCAGUCCUGUCAUGUAAUUCAUGAAUUGUUAACACAUCACUGCCCCAUCUGCAAUUUGCUAAAAAAUAAUAAAUCGUCCUGCUGUUUCUUGGCUUCCACAUGGUAGUUAAUCCCUCAUAAAUCUCUCUAAAGGUCACUUCCUCAGAACCCCACUGCUAAUAACUUUGUUUUCAGCAGAGAGCUUCAUACACGGCAUGGUUUCAUUUUUGUCACAUUCUAGCUCAAAGGUCCAGAUUUUUUGACUUUGCAGAGAACACAUACUUGUAAAUAUGCAUUUUCUAGGUAUUUACAAACAAGAACUUUGGGAACGCCUCAAUUUUGUAGAAGCUGUUCAAAGAAGAGGUAUGCCCUUUUUAAUUAUGCAAAUUCACAAAACAAAGAAUUCUAGAAAUGGACAACAACAACCCGGUUGGUAGUUGCAACAUCUUGGAACUUUUUUUUUUGUUUGUUUGGUUUUUUUUGUUGUUGUUUUGUUUGUUUUUGUUUUUCUCUUAAAGAUGGUGUCUGGCUUAUUAGGCAGAGGAAACAUUGUGUUGCAGCUGUUACAACUUCUUUCACUGUACAAUGUGUAUUUUUAAGUACAUGUUGCUGGAUUAGUCCUUCCCUGUUUUCUCACCACUUCCCAAGCUGUACAACAAUCAAAAUGGAUUUGUUUUUAAAUGUGAAGUCUUUUUCUUUUCUUGCAUGUUGAGAUGAUCUGGCUGGUUUUUAUCCCUGUUUUUACCAGUUUGUAUUGAUUUAUCGAUGGAGGAAAAAAAAGAAGAGAAAAAAAAAAAGCUUUUUGUUUAACCUACAGAGUCAGAUUUUGGUAUAUUAUUUGAUGUGUACAAUAACUUGUGACAUUAUCAACAAAUCUAUUAUACUAUUUUACUAAUGUGUGAAUCAAAUAUGUAAUGGUCAUGUUAGGUUUUUUUGGUUUAGUUUGUUUUUUUUCUUUCUGCAGUUAGUUGGCAGAUGUGAAGCUGAGGUUGCUCCCUCGUGUGUAUUAAAUUUAAAAUACUGUGUUUAGGUGAUCUGUUUUCCACACAAUAGUCGCUGGCUGGUCUCUGAAGUUGUGCAAUACUAAUAUUUCACCACUUCUAUUGAUACAGUUUUGGUCUUGAAGCAGAGGAGAUCAAGCCUUUUUGUUUGUUUGUUUGUUUGUUUGUUUGUUUGUUUUUUUUAAAGAAAUGCUCAUUUCUUCUUUUUUUUCUUUUUUCACAGCUCCCUGUCAGGAGUCUUUCUUUUGAAAGGAGACAAUAAAAGCACUGUCUUGUGUGUGUGUGUGUGUGGUUAACAGUUUGAUUUCACCUUCCAGAAAUCACAGUCUGAGGUGUGUAUUUAAGUGGGGGGGACAAAGUGAAACCAUCGUGUGUGUGUGUGUGUGUGUGUGUGUGUGUGUGUGUGUGUGUGUGUGUGUGUGUGUGUGUGUGUGUGUGUGUGUGUGUGUGUGUGUGUGUGUGUGUGUGUGUGUGUCACACUGAAUGGGAGCAACCUUUUGCCCAGCCAGCAGAGAGCACUGUGUUCAGCUUUCUAUAAGCGCCAUCUUUUCCCGUUAUCUGUUGGCUCUCCUCUGCAGUGAAUCAAUGGCUCACCGGUCCUCCCAGCUUCUCAGUCCCAUUGGUUCCUUACUCGUGGGUACAAAACAAUGGAUAGAUCUGUUUUGCUCUUCUUCAUUUCAGUUGGUGGUGGUUAUGAUUCAAGGAUUUUUGACUGUGUUUUAAAGGUUUAUUUUCUUUUGUUUUCUUUUUAUUUGUUUCUCUAUUAAAGUGUUUUUAUUGAAACUGUUUGAGUUCUGUUUCUCUGUCUUCUGAAUUGUUGUGUAGUUGUGCCACCUGGGUCCAGAUGGACCUUUACUGCAUUAAAUAACGCGGUCCCAGAUAAGUUUUCCACAGCAUUUCAAGAUUGAAUUUUUAUUACAAACCUAUAAAGCAGUAUAUAACAAACACACUCAAAAUCUAACGCAUUCCAAACGUUGUUACUGCAUGCCUCAUUCAGUGAAAAAAACACUAGAAGUACAGGAGGUUCACGUCAACAGCUGCCUCUAUUUUAAA
ensembl:lncRNA